UUACUUCCAAUUUGUAAGUCGCUCUGGAUAAGAGCGUCUGCUAAAUGACUUAAA
rfam:Salmo salar isolate Sally breed double haploid chromosome ssa20, whole genome shotgun sequence.